CCUACGGGUGGCAGCAGUGAGGAAUAUUGGUCAAUGGCCGGAAGGCUGAACCAGCCAAGCCGCGUGAAGGACGAAGGUGCCACGCAUUGUAAACUUCUUUUGUCAAGGGACAAAAUCAGGCUCGAGAGCCUGCCCGAGGGUUCUUGAGGAAAAAGCAUCGGCUAACUCCGUGCCAGCAGCCGCGGUAAUACGGAGGAUUCGGUGGUUACCCGGAUUUAUUGGGUUUACAGGGUGCGUAGGCGGACUUUUAAGUCAGCGGUAAAAUCCCGGGGCUCAACCCCGGCGAGCCGUUGAAACUGGCGGUCUUGAGAUGUCGAGAGGUAUGCGGAAUGCGCAGUGUAGCGGUGAAAUGCUUAGAUAUUGCGCAGAACUCCGAUUGCGAAGGCAGCAUACCGGCGGCGAACUGACGCUGAGGCACGAAAGCGUGGGUAUCGAACAGGAUUAGAUACCCUAGUAGUC
rnacentral:rRNA from 1 species